GCACUAGUAACAGAACCAUCCAAUGAUUUUAUCAAAACCUUGGAAGAAAAAAUCCCUGGUGUAAAUACAGGGCAGUGCAGUGCCAACAAAAUACCACUUCCUGACAAUUCUGUUAAAGCCAUAAUUGCAGCCCAGUGCUUUCACUGGUUUGCAAACGAAGAGAACAUUUCCGAAAUUGACCGAGUAUUGAAACCAGGAGAAAUUUUCAUUCUAGUUUGGAACGUUUUAGAUGACAGCUUAGUUUUAGAUGCGGAUUUCCAAAAAUUCUUUUUAAAAUGGAUAAAGGACUCAACCCAGUAUUAUGACAUGAGAUGGAAAAAAAAUUCUUGACAAUUGUGACCAGGUCCGGUAGGUUUCAAGAAAAGUGUUUGAUGGCAACAAUUUAAGCGGUUCCAUUGAUCAUUUAGUGCGUUUAAGGACUACUUUCAGUUGUAUACAAAGCCUUGAGGAUGUUCAAAAAGAGAAAGCAUGCAGUGAAAUACGAGGUUUCUAUGAAAACCACCCUGAGGGAAAUGGGAAGGAAUUCCUCACUCAUCCCAUGAAAACAGACGUUUU